AUUGAACGCUGGCGGCAGGCCUAACACAUGCAAGUCGAACGAGUGGCGGACGGGUGAGUAAUUUCUGGGAAACUGCCUGAUGGAGGGGGAUAACUACUGGAAACGGUAGCUAAUACCGCAUACCCUCGGAUGUGCCCAUAUGGGAUGAGCUAGUAGGUGGGGUAACGGCUCACCUAGGCGACGAUCCCUCGCUGGUCUGAGAGGAUGACCAGCCACACUGGAACGGAGACACGGUCCAGACUCCUACGGGAGGCAGCAGUUGGGAAUAGUGCACAAUGGGCGCAAGCCUGAUGCAGCCAUGCCGCGUGUAUGAAGAAGGCCUUCGGGUUGUAAAGUACUUGCAGCGGGGAGGCGUUACCCGCAGAAGAAGCACCGGCUAACUCCGUGCCAGCCGCCGCGGUAAUAC
rnacentral:rRNA from 1 species